rnacentral:lncRNA from 1 species
GGCUGCGCACGCUAAUCACCGCCUAGCCCCGUCCCGCGAGCAGAGCCGCUUUCAGCUUUUCGAGUCGCCCGGUUCCGCCGGCCUCUCCUGUUUCCCACGGAUGGGACCUUCCGAAGGGCGCCGAAUGGGGCUCUGGAAGGGACCACUGGGAAAGCGGGGGGGGGGGGCCCGAGCGGAGCGCCGCGCGGCUUCCUUUGGCUCGAGUACAAUAGCGGGGCUGCGGGGCGCCUACAGCUCCCAGGCUGCGGGGCUGCGGCCGGCGCCGCGCGGCAUGCCGGGACCUGUAGUCGCGGCGGGGCGGCGGCGCCCGCUCGGGCCCCCGGCCGGGAAGGCAGGGCGCCGGGGCGGGUUUUGCGUUGUUGCCCUCUUACCGAGGGUGCCGCUGAAAGGGCCGGCGGGAGGCCUCGAGCCGCGGAAGGAGGCCGAGGCGGGACGCAGGGCUCCCGGAGGCCGAGCGGCCGGCGCCGCUGCGCUGAUGUUCAUGGAGGCUAAUGUACGGAGGACAGAAGGACACAUCAAGGAACUGGGAGAGAGAUCCAGUGCUGUGCUGAGAGGAACGCCGAUAUCAGUGGGAUAUGUGAUUCCAACUGCUGGAAAUAAGAGAAGAAAUCGGGUGCUAUUUUCUAUCUCUCUGUGUGUUUUGAAACGUUUAAAAUUGGACCUAUGAGUUCCCAAAUGGAAAUACUGCUGUCCCUGGACUCCACCGUACACUUGGCAGAGCCUAUUUUGCUGCGAGUCGAAGGGCAGCUGCAGAGCUAUUGUGGACUGCGCGGAGGGAACCUCAUUUGCCUGCCUGUAACAAAGCUUCGGUGAAGGGUAUUCCCCAGGCCCCGCAGCAGCACCUCUGCAACGGAAACGCACGCAGCAGAAGGCAAGCCUGUACACAGGGCAUCGUAGGUGCUCUCAAAUCUUUGCCUACAAGUAUCAGGAAAAGCGUGAAAAAAUGGCCAGCAUGUUUAAAAGACACCAGGAAAUAGUCUGAAUAUUCACAUUUCAAAAUUUGAUUUUGAAACCAGUUAUUUGAAUAAAUAGUUUGCAGUGCCCCUUUAAAAAGAACCC